rnacentral:rRNA from 1 species
GAUGAACGCUGGCGGCGUGCCUAAUACAUGCAAGUCGAGCGAACAGAUGAGGAGCUUGCUCCUCUGACGUUAGCGGCGGACGGGUGAGUAACACGUGGAUAACCUACCUAUAAGACUGGGAUAACUUCGGGAAACCGGAGCUAAUACCGGAUAAUAUAUUGAACCGCAUGGUUCAAUAGUGAAAGACGGUUUUGCUGUCAUUUAUAGAUGGAUCCGCGCCGCAUUAGCUAGUUGGUAAGGUAACGGCUUACCAAGGCAACGAUGCGUAGCCGACCUGAGAGGGUGGUCGGCCACACUGGAACUGAGGCACGGUCCCGACUCCUUCGGGAGGCCACAGUAGGGAAUCUUCCGGCAAGGGCGAAAGCCUGACCGAGCAACGCCGCCUGAGGUAUGAAGGUCUUCGGAUCCUAAAACUCUGUUAUUAGGGAAGAACAAAUGUGUAAGUAACUAUGCACGUCUUGACGGUACCGAAUCAAAAAGCCCCGGCUAACUACGUG